rnacentral:rRNA from 1 species
AAACUUUCAACAACGGAUCUCUUGGUUCUGGCAUCGAUGAAGAACGCAGCGAAAUGCGAUACGUAAUGUGAAUUGCAGAAUUCAGUGAAUCAUCGAAUCUUUGAACGCACAUUGCACCUUUUGGUACUCCGAAAGGUAUAUUUGUUUGAGCAUUAUUU